GACCGGCGGAUGUCUAGAGCCAAGGCGAUGCUGAAGAAGGAGCUGUCCUUUCAGCACCACGGCGCUCUCCGCUUCCUCCUCUUGCAAGCAGCAGCUGGGCAUUCAUUCUUUACAUCCGCAUUUGCUGGUGAUCACUUCGAUGCCACUAUUUUGAAAGAGAGAGAGCGCAGCUUUCUUCAGGUUGCUGAAACUGACAGCCAGAAGUAUUCUAAAGAGAAUUGGAAUUUGGCAAUUUGUAGAUCACACGUAACUCACAGAACACUUGGGCCCACCAAGAUAGAAAACCACCUAGGAGGCACAAAGACAAUAAAACAAAGGAUAAGGACAAGCAUUUCAAAUCAGCUAAAUCUAUUUGAAAGCCACAGGUGGAGAAUGAUCAUGUUCCUGGGUGUUCACAUAGGUUACAAAAUCAUAUUGGAUUGAAAUAAAGUUAUCAUUUUUACUUUGA